rnacentral:rRNA from 1 species
UACGUAGGGGGCUAGCGUUGUCCGGAAUCAUUGGGCGUAAAGCGCGUGUAGGCGGUCCGGUAAGUCCGUUGUGAAAACUCGAGGCUCAACCUCGAGACGCCGAUGGAAACCGUUUGGCUAGAGUCCGGAAGAGGAGAGUGGAAUUCCUGGUGUAGCGGUGAAAUGCGCAGAUAUCAGGAAGAACACCCGUGGCUAAGGCGGCUCUCUAGUACGGUACUGACGCUGAGACGCGAAAGCGUGGGGAGCGAACAGG